CUAUUAAAAUUUCAUUCAUUUCUACUAUUAAAAAUUGGCAUGAUUAACGAAAUAACUAGAGAAUUACACGUGGAGUGCCACGUAUACCUCAGGAUGACAUAGAGAUACUAAUUUUUAACCGUGGAAAUUGAUAAAAUUUUAACAA
rnacentral:pre_miRNA from 1 species